rnacentral:rRNA from 1 species
AUGAACGCUGGCGGCGUGCCUAAUACAUGCAAGUCGAGCGAACAGACGAGGAGCUUGCUCCUCUGACGUUAGCGGCGGACGGGUGAGUAACACGUGGAUAACCUACCUAUAAGACUGGGAUAACUUCGGGAAACCGGAGCUAAUACCGGAUAAUAUAUUGAACCGCAUGGUUCAAUAGUGAAAGACGGUUUUGCUGUCACUUAUAGAUGGAUCCGCGCCGCAUUAGCUAGUUGGUAAGGUAACGGCUUACCAAGGCAACGAUGCGUAGCCGGCCUGAGAGGGUGAUCGGCCACACUGGAACUGAGACACGGUCCAGACUCCUACGGGAGGCAGCAGUAGGGAAUCUUCCACAAUGGGCGAAAGCUUGACGGAGCAACGCCGCGUGAGUGAUGAAGGUCUUCGGAUCGUAAAACUCUGUUAUUAGGGAAGAACAAAUGUGUAAGUAACUAUGCACGUCUUGACGGUACCUAAUCAGAAAGCCACGGCUAACUACGUG